GCUAUCAACAUUUAAAAGUGCGAUUAACGAAAGGAAAACGUUUUUUACGUAUGUAAAAAAAAAGAGGACUUAAAAGACUUUAGAACACCGAGACGAAAAGCAACUACUGUACAGAAAUGAAGCCUAUUAUUGCGGCAGUGUUGUUGGUUCUCCUUUUUGCAACCCAUAAGGAAACCAUUGCAGAAUGGUGUUGUCCUGAUCCGCCAUUUUUUGGCUUUUGUUGGGAGGGCUGCACCGCGGAUAGUAAUUGCACUGGGAUACAACUGUGCUGCUCAAAUGGAUGUGGUCACCUGUGCAUGGAUCCCGUCGAUUGUUA